AAUGGGGAUGUUCGGCUUAUUUCCUCACCAGGUGGCAGCACUGCCUUCUUUGGACACAGAAACUGUGGCGGCGAAUGCGCCACUGUGUUUUGCACUGUGUGGAGUCCGUGCGGUGGCGGUCCGAGGGACUGAAUUUCGGUGAAUUUGAUAGCAAUUGAUUUGAAUUUUGCUCAGAUGGAUUGUGAAUUUAUAUUCAGCAAGUGUCACAAACAUGGAAAGGCAAGUUUACAAAGGACAGGAGACUUAGAAAGGCUUCAAUUGACGUGGCCGAAGAGAGGCGAGAAGCCGAAGAUAGACCGACUCCAAACGGUGCCCAGUGCAAUCAUGCUUCUGGUGCGGAGUUUUCAGGAUGGAGUCUGAGGAAUCAAGAAAGGCAGAGGACCUGCGUAUGAAGGAACCAGCCCUGCGGAUGAAGUUCUGAGGUGCAUACAGAGGGAUCCCACUGAAAGACCAGGUGCAAUGCUGCAUUGAUAAGAUCCAGAUUCAAGAGCAUGGAUGCUGCCAGAUCCUGUGAUUUGAAGUUACCAGUGUCACUGCUGCUACAAAUGACAUCAGCAACACUUCCUUUGGUGAAAGUUUAGAGGAGCAAACAGUUGGUGCUCUGUGUAGUCAGGCAGUGGAGUUUUGCCACAAUCAUGAAGGUGUCAAUUUUUGCUCUGGCUUCUGGGACACCUUGGAUCUACAUUGCAACCUAUGCUAGUGUUCAACAUUUCGUGCCAUAGUAUCACUGAUGCAAAGCGUGUUGCAUCCAGACAUGUGCAUGGAUCCGAGUGAUGGAUCUAUGAUCUCAGUGGAUCUUGAAGCAAAGUACAGGUUGGGAUCUAUGAUCCCAUCGGAUCCGGCGUGAAAAAUACAUCUUGGAUCUAUGAUCUCAAAUGAUCUGACGAUAAAUUAAGAACAUGGAUCUAUGAUCUGAGUGGAUCCCACCAUGCACCACAUUUGAAACCAUGUUUUAAAGGGUUUCUAUGUCAAUAAGUGACACAAAACUAUGGAUUAUGACGUGCGAUCACAUAAAAUCACUAAAACAGAACGUUUGAGUUGAAACAAGUGCUUUUUUGGGAUAUAUGUGUUAACAAAAAAUAAGUGAGGAUCUAUGAUCUCACUGGAUCUCAAGCAAAAAAUGAGACUCGGAUCUGUGAUCCCUAUGGAUCUCUCGAUAAAUUACAGAGCUGGAUCUAUGAUCCCGACGGAUCCGAGAUCAGGAUCCGUGGGAUCAGAUCCCAGAUCCAUUUUCUCGGAUCCAUGCACAUGUCUGGUUGCAUCAUAGACAAAUGAGAGCCAACAAAUUGUCAGAUAUUUUCUAGUGAUAGAGAACUGCAUGCCUUAAGCAAUUGUUGAAGGUGAUAAGUGGUGAAUGGUAGGGCUCAGCCACUCAGCUCCUUCCUUCAAAAGCUAUCAAUCAGCUCUAGAAGAGUAGUCAUAGCAAUGCUUCAUAUGUGAAGGCUACUUGCCUGAACAGAACAUUGUGGAUUUGCUAAUUAAGUACCUCUUUAUUACAAGUUUGUGCCCAUUACAAGCCAAGCUUAGUUUACUUAGUUUGUUGCAAGUUUUCCAGGCAGCCUUCACACUUGUGUCGCUGAAUAUUUAACUUUAACUGAUAGACCGACGAGAUAUUGUCCCUUUCGCAUCAGAUUGUUAUCAGUCAGUCGUGUUGGUAGAAGGUACAGUCUGUCUUAAAAGUAUACCGCGCAAAGUGACGGUGGAUCCAUCAAGCCUGACCGAGGAAGGGCCUGCUAUAAUUUGAAAGUCACCGAACCAAUUGACCUGGGGAACGGACGAGGAUGUCAUAUAGAGCCACGCAGAAAUCGCCGGUGAUUCGCUGCCCAUCAUUACAGAAUGAACGCAUGCCGGAUGAAGGGUUAUGUCAAUAGUCUGCACAAACUACAGGGAUGUGAUUGACUUAUCUGACAGUGACGAGCGCUAGAGGUCAACUUAAGACCGUAGGUAUGCGUUCUUGUCAUGGAAUGUGUGCUGUAAAUCGAUUGUUUCAUGCGUGUGAAUAUAUGUCUGAAUGUAA